rnacentral:rRNA from 1 species
GACGAACGCUGGCGGCGUGCUUAACACAUGCAAGUCGAACGGAAAGGCCCUGCUUGCAGGGUACUCGAGUGGCGAACGGGUGAGUAACACGUGGGUGAUCUGCCCUGCACUUCGGGAUAAGCCUGGGAAACUGGGUCUAAUACCGGAUAGGAGCCAUUUUUAGUGUGAUGGUUGGAAAGUUUUUUCGGUGUAGGAUGAGCUCGCGGCCUAUCAGCUUGUUGGUGGGGUAAUGGCCUACCAAGGCGGCGACGGGUAGCCGGCCUGAGAGGGUGGACGGCCACAUUGGGACUGGGAUACGGCCCAGACUCCUACGGGAGGCAGCAGUGGGGAAUAUUGCACAAUGGGCGCAAGCCUGAUGCAGCGACGCCGCGUGGGGGAUGACGGCCUUCGGGUUAUAAACUCCUUUCGCUAGGGACGAAGCUUUUGUGACGGUACCUAGAUAAGAAGCACCGGCUAACUACGUG